GGGCGAGUGGUGGAAUGGUAUACACGAUCGACUUAAGAUCGAUUGCCGUAAGGCAUGAGGGUUCAAGUCCCUCCUCGCCCA
rnacentral:tRNA from 1 species